rnacentral:rRNA from 1 species
UUUCAACGGAGAGUUUGAUCCUGGCUCAGGACGAACGCUGGCGGCGUGCUUAACACAUGCAAGUCGAGCGGUAAGGCUCCUUCGGGAGUACACGAGCGGCGAACGGGUGAGUAACACGUGAGCAAUC